GGUUCAAUGGUGUAAUGGUUAUCACGUCAGUCUCACAUCUCCGAACAGAGUUGUCACACUGAAGGUUCCCAGUUCGAUCCUGGGUUGAAUCA